UUGGUGAAUGAGACUGGGAAAGGA
rnacentral:misc_RNA from 1 species